rnacentral:rRNA from 9 species
AAAUUGAAGAGUUUGAUCAUGGCUCAGAUUGAACGCUGGCGGCAGGCCUAACACAUGCAAGUCGAACGGUAACAGGAAGCAGCUUGCUGCUUUGCUGACGAGUGGCGGACGGGUGAGUAAUGUCUGGGAAACUGCCUGAUGGAGGGGGAUAACUACUGGAAACGGUGGCUAAUACCGCAUAACGUCGCAAGACCAAAGAGGGGGACCUUCGGGCCUCUUGCCAUCAGAUGUGCCCAGAUGGGAUUAGCUUGUUGGUGAGGUAACGGCUCACCAAGGCGACGAUCCCUAGCUGGUCUGAGAGGAUGACCAGCCACACUGGAACUGAGACACGGUCCAGACUCCUACGGGAGGCAGCAGUGGGGAAUAUUGCACAAUGGGCGCAAGCCUGAUGCAGCCAUGCCGCGUGUAUGAAGAAGGCCUUCGGGUUGUAAAGUACUUUCAGCGGGGAGGAAGGUGUUGUGGUUAAUAACCGCAGCAAUUGACGUUACCCGCAGAAGAAGCACCGGCUAACUCCGUGCCAGCAGCCGCGGUAAUACGGAGGGUGCAAGCGUUAAUCGGAAUUACUGGGCGUAAAGCGCACGCAGGCGGUCUGUCAAGUCGGAUGUGAAAUCCCCGGGCUCAACCUGGGAACUGCAUUCGAAACUGGCAGGCUUGAGUCUUGUAGAGGGGGGUAGAAUUCCAGGUGUAGCGGUGAAAUGCGUAGAGAUCUGGAGGAAUACCGGUGGCGAAGGCGGCCCCCUGGACAAAGACUGACGCUCAGGUGCGAAAGCGUGGGGAGCAAACAGGAUUAGAUACCCUGGUAGUCCACGCCGUAAACGAUGUCUACUUGGAGGUUGUGCCCUUGAGGCGUGGCUUCCGGAGCUAACGCGUUAAGUAGACCGCCUGGGGAGUACGGCCGCAAGGUUAAAACUCAAAUGAAUUGACGGGGGCCCGCACAAGCGGUGGAGCAUGUGGUUUAAUUCGAUGCAACGCGAAGAACCUUACCUGGUCUUGACAUCCACAGAACUUUCCAGAGAUGGAUUGGUGCCUUCGGGAACUGUGAGACAGGUGCUGCAUGGCUGUCGUCAGCUCGUGUUGUGAAAUGUUGGGUUAAGUCCCGCAACGAGCGCAACCCUUAUCCUUUGUUGCCAGCGGUUAGGCCGGGAACUCAAAGGAGACUGCCAGUGAUAAACUGGAGGAAGGUGGGGAUGACGUCAAGUCAUCAUGGCCCUUACGACCAGGGCUACACACGUGCUACAAUGGCGCAUACAAAGAGAAGCGACCUCGCGAGAGCAAGCGGACCUCAUAAAGUGCGUCGUAGUCCGGAUUGGAGUCUGCAACUCGACUCCAUGAAGUCGGAAUCGCUAGUAAUCGUGGAUCAGAAUGCCACGGUGAAUACGUUCCCGGGCCUUGUACACACCGCCCGUCACACCAUGGGAGUGGGUUGCAAAAGAAGUAGGUAGCUUAACCUUCGGGAGGGCGCUUACCACUUUGUGAUUCAUGACUGGGGUGAAGUCGUAACAAGGUAACCGUAGGGGAACCUGCGGUUGGAUCACCUCCUUACCUUAAAGAA